UACGUAGGGUGCAAGCGUUAUCCGGAUUUACUGGGUGUAAAGGGCGAGUAGACGGCGAUGCAAGUCAGAUGUGAAAUGCUAGGGCUUAACCUUAGAACUGCAUCUGAAACUGCAUUGCUAGAGUGCAGGAGAGGUAAGCGGAAUUCCUAGUGUAGCGGUGAAAUGCGUAGAUAUUAGGAGGAACAUCAGUGGCGAAGGCGGCUUACUGGACUGUAACUGACGUUGAGGCGCGAAAGCGUGGGGAGCAAACA
rnacentral:rRNA from 1 species